rnacentral:rRNA from 1 species
AUUGAACGCUGGCGGCAGGCUUAACACAUGCAAGUCGAGCGGAGAUGAGGUGCUUGCACCUUAUCUUAGCGGCGGACGGGUGAGUAAUGCUUAGGAAUCUGCCUAUUAGUGGGGGAUAACAUUCCGAAAGGAAUGCUAAUACCGCAUACGUCCUACGGGAGAAAGCAGGGGAUCUUCGGACCUUGCGCUAAUAGAUGAGCCUAAGUCGGAUUAGCUAGUUGGUGGGGUAAAGGCCUACCAAGGCGACGAUCUGUAGCGGGGCGGAGAGGAUGAUCGGCCAGACUGGGACUGAGACACGGCCCAGACUCCUACGGGAGGCAGCAGUGGGGAAUAUUGGACAAUGGGGGGAACCCUGAUCCAGCCAUGCCGCGUGUGUGAAGAAGGCCUUAUGGUUGUAAAGCACUUUAAGCGAGGAGGAGGCUACUGAGACUAAUACUCUUGGAUAGUGGACGUUACUCGCAGAAUAAGCACCGGCUAACUCUGUGCCAGCAGCCGCGGUAA